CCUACCCCAAUUCCUCUGCACACGUUACUUUAACUUAUGAUUUGAAACUCUUUUAUGUGAGAUUAUAUACACUUCAAAGUGAGUAUCUAGCAAACGUGCAAUAGAAGCAAAGAGAACAUUAUUAGCAUGGACGAAGAGGGUGGUUCAAGAGGAAAAGCCAAUAAGGAUGAAGAUCAAGAGCAUGUUAAGUACAGAGGGGUACGUAGGAGGCCAUGGGGAAAAUUUGCAGCAGAGAUUCGUGACUCAAUGAGACAAGGUCAAAGGUUGUGGCUUGGAACAUUCAACACUGCAGAGGAAGCAGCUAGAGCCUAUGAUAGAGCUGCGUAUGCCAUGAGAGGUCCCUUUGCAGUCCUCAAUUUCCCUAAUGAAUACCCCCCUUUAGCAAUUGGUGCUUCCUCUUCUUCUUCUUCUUCUUCUUCCAAUGCUUCUUCGGCUUCGGCUUCGGCUUCACCCUCUUCAAGUCAUGUGGAAGGAAGUGGAAGGAGUGAGCAAGCAAACCAAGUGAUUGAGUUUGAGUACUUUGAUGACAAGUUGUUGGAGGAGCUUCUUGGUUACGAAGACAAAAAUAAACCUGACAAGUGAAACAUGUUGUUUGCAAAUGUACUCCUAAUAUGUCAAUCUCCACGUGACAGUGAUCAUAUUUUCAAGAAAAUUAAAAACAUAUCAGGGCAAUGAUAUAUGUUUUGGACCAACAAAACAAUUGAGUUACGUUGGACUCUUGCUUUUUCUCCAAAGCUCCAUUUCUUAAAUUUUUUUGUGCUUCAAAUAUGUACCAUUGAAAUGUUAGAUGUUUGAUAGCUAGUUAUAUAAUGGUAGGUUAUUCAAAAUAAAUUAAGCUACUUAAGCUGCUGAGAAAAUGUCUUUUUUGAG